CCUCAGCCACUCCCCCUUCUUGGUUGUGGUUGGAUAUUAUGGUCUGACAAUUACAAGGGAAAAGAGGUGUGUGCAGGACAGCCCUGGCUCAUCCUGUGAGGGCAGCCUUCCUGGGACUCCUGGGAUGGGCCGGGUCAGCUGGUCCUGGAUCUCCCUGACCUGCCACGGACAGCCACCAGCAUGUGGAGACUGGCAGCUGGGCAAGCAGGAAGAGAGACAGCAAUCAACCCAGUCCAGUAAGAGGCAACCGCAGCGAGAAGGCCUGGGACAGAGACUGAAUGUGAGGGACUGGGACCUACUAGCCCUCAGGACUCUGCAGUGGUGAACAGGAGCCUCCAGUCUCCUCCCUUCUAACUGUGAAGGAGGCCAACUGGUCAUGAGUUUGGCUUCAGUUUUACUGGCGAAGUUAACUGUGGCUGCAUCCAGGGCCUGCAAGCUCAGACCCAAUGAGAACCUCACCUGAAGGCGGACAGUGACCACGGAACGGCACUCACACAGAGGACAACCGCGUGAACGUUCUGGGAUGCAGGUGGGGCUCCAGGACGGGAUCCUCUAGAGCGUGCCCAGGGUGGCCAGGUGAAUGCCCUGAGCCCCCCUGUCCUCCACAGCCCUGCCCACCACUGGGACCUUGUGCACCUCCUUCUCGGGAGAAGACCCAAGACAGGGUCCUCAGCAGCACGUGUGGAAUCUGUCCAAACACCCGGUCUCACUCCAGCAGUGUCACACCAAGUGUCUGCCCUCCCCAAAUUCGCCCUUCCUUGACUCUGCUAGACACCUCCAGCCUGGCACGCCUGGCAUGGCGGGGGCCUGAAAUCCUUCCACUCCGGAGGCUGAGCCCAGAGGAACUGAGCCCAAGAGUUCCGGGCCAGCUGAAGCAACACGAGGAGACUCCACCUCGUAGACCACAAGGACAACUGCAAAAGCUACUGCUGACGCCCUCUGGCAGGCCCAGCUCCACCAGCGCAGGGGCCUCACCAAGAGGUUUUGCUUGCUCACGUCUGCUGGGUUUCUCCCGUCUUCCAAGAGGGAAAUGUCAAGUGAGAGAAGCCCCAAAGCAACAUGGUAGUGUGACCUGCCUACACUCUCCUUGGCCCCAGGCCACACUCUCCCGCAGAUUGGUCAGGAAUCUGCUGCAAAAAGGUAUUCACAUUCUGAAUGAGCAAGUGAUCAGCCCUCAGUCUGACUAAGCUACAGAGAACCUCGCCAGGGUCUGGGAGCCACCCGCCUCCUAGGCAACCCUCACCACCAGCCGACUACCAGGCCAGCAUGCUGCCUCCUAGAGCCCAGGGCACACUGGGCUAGAGGGAGAAUCUGGCCUGCCAAGCACCAGGCUUUCCUCCAGACCUGGGCCACCGGCUUGCUGCCCAGGCUCUGCUCAGCCACGUGCACCUGAUUGGUGUCCGGGGUACCAGCUCCUCUCUCUUUGGCCACUUUCAGUUAGUUACUGCUAGUGCUGUGGCAUGGAUUUCAGAGCAAGACUUUCCACACACUAAAGGGGGGCUUCCUUGUGCUUCCUUCCUGCAGUGGGAGAGGCUGGUGCACAAGCCGCCUUCAGCACAAGGGCCAGGAAGGACCCAGCAACGCAAAAUUGAGUCCAGUGGAGAGACCAGCGUCUCUCUGCCCCUGUGGAACAGAGCCUGGACCACACGGUAGCAGGCCCUGUGGCUCAGAUGACAGGCACUGCAGGGCCAAGCCAGCAUGGCUCUGCAUCUGCCACAGAGCCCCGGAACUCACGACUGGUUGGGAGAAUCAGGGAACUUUGGGAUGGAAUAGAGGACAUUCCAGGUCCCCUGUUUGAAUGUCACGCUAUUCUGUUUUCACUUUAAAACACGGACACCCUCCUCAGGCCAUUCUGGCGCCCAGGGGGUCUGUCAGUGAUCAGCGGUCAGUGUGUGCUACACAGCUACUGGGCAGAGGAGGCCUAGAGCCCUCUGAAAGGGCGGAGCGGGGCUGGCUGUGCCUGCUGCAGACCGAGGCUGCUCACAGGGCCUGGGUGUAAGAUGAGCUUCACCAGGAACCAGGCCAGUUCCAGUCCACACAAGACAGACUCCAGGGUCACAGAGACAUUCUCAGGAGACUGGGGUCGUAAAAGGCCACGGUGCAAACUUGCAGAGGCGCCCGAGCCUGAAGAUGGAGAAGCUUGAGUUUUCACUCCCCUUGACCAAGGUCCAUCAGACACGCCCAUGGCGUUGUUCACAAUGAUGCCAAAAAAGCAUUCUGCCAUUUACAGGGUGCUGGGCACCGACUCAGCCUUCUGGGAACUGUGAAUCGCCAGGACAGGCAGAGGCAGUGGGGGCCCCAAGAGGGCAGGCAGGGGCAGCAGGCUGGGGCCUGUAACACAGCAAGCAGCAGCAGCCCCUGGCGGGUGUGCGGGGCGACCUGAACCCUAACCUGCCCAGGGCUCUGUCAGUCUACAGGACGUCACUCACAGGCCCACAUGGGAAUAAGCCAAACGUAGAAGGAGCAAAAUGCUACAAGAGGAAACCAGGGGCUUCGGCCAUUCAUGCAGGAGGGGAGAAGUGCUACCUAUCAAGAGGGUGUCAGGACACAGGAAUCCAGAUGAAGCAAGCCAAUCACAGAGAUGCAUUUUGAGACAGGGACAUUUCAACAGACUGGUGUUGUUAGAUAUUAAGAAACGUAUCCUCUAACACAAGUUUGAAAAUAAACAUAUCAACUAACAGAAUUAAAUUUGAUAUAAUUAUUUUACUUUAUAUUUUUAAGAAUUUGUUUCCACUCACGCAUCAUCAUUACACAUACCAGUGGGUCCUUAUGCCAACCUGUGGGACACCUGGCAGAAGCCGCUCUGUCUCCCCUGGCACCUCCUUUCCGCCUCUGCCCUGGUCCACUCACUCUCUGUCCUGGCUUCUGUCAUCGAGGCUGGUUAAGGACCGGUGCUCUGUGCACACACCCAGGAGCGGGUGCCCUGGGGCAGUCUCCUGGACAGGUUUGGGAAGCGGCUGGCCCUCCUUCCUCCCUCGACCCCUCGC